rnacentral:rRNA from 1 species
AGAGUUUGAUCUUGGCUCAGAAUCAACGCUGGCGGCGCGCCUAACACAUGCAAGUCGAACGAGAAAGCAGGAGCAAUCUUGUGAGUAAAGUGGCGUACGGGUGAGUAACACGUGGAUCAUCUACCCUCUUGUGGGGGAUAACCCUGGGAAACCGGGGCUAAUACCGCAUAAGCUCGAGAGAGGAAAGCAGCAAUGCGCUGGAGGAGGAGUCCGCGGCCGAUUAGCUAGUUGGUAGGGUAAAAGCCUACCAAGGCAUCGAUCGGUAGCCGGCCUGAGAGGGCACACGGCCACACUGGCACUGAAACACGGGCCAGACUCCUACGGGAGGCAGCAGUGGGGAAUCUUGCACAAUGGGGGAAACCCUGAUGCAGCGACGCCGCGUGAGCGAUGAAGCCCUUCGGGGUGUAAAGCUCUUUCGGCAGGGAAGAUUAUGACGGUACCUGCAGAAGCAGCUGCGGCUAACUACGUGCCAGCAGCCGCGGUA